rnacentral:rRNA from 1 species
UACGGGGGGUGCGAGCGUUGUCCGGAAUCACUGGGCGUAAAGGGCGCGUAGGUGGCUUGGCAAGCGCGUGGUGAAAGCCCGGGGCUCAACCCCGGGUCUGCCGUGCGAACUGCUAUGGCUUGAGCACUGUAGAGGCAGGUAGAAUUCCGGGUGUAGCGGUGGAAUGCGUAGAGAUCCGGAAGAAUACCGGUGGCGAAGGCGGCCUGCUGGGCAGUGGCUGACACUGAGGCGCGGACAGCGUGGGGAGCAAACAGG